UACGUAGGUGGCAAGCGUUGUCCGGAAUUAUUGGGCGUAAAGCGCGCGCAGGCGGUUUCUUAAGUCUGAUGUGAAAGCCCACGGCUCAACCGUGGAGGGUCAUUGGAAACUGGGGAACUUGAGUGCAGAAGAGGAGAGCGGAAUUCCACGUGUAGCGGUGAAAUGCGUAGAGAUGUGGAGGAACACCAGUGGCGAAGGCGGCUCUUUGGUCUGUAACUGACGCUGAGGCGCGAAAGCGUGGGGAGCAAACAGG
rnacentral:rRNA from 1 species